rnacentral:sRNA from 1 species
UCACUCUCUCCUGUCA